GUUUGAUCCUGGCUCAGGACGAACGCUGGCGGCGUGCCUAAUACAUGCAAGUCGAGCGGACAGAUGGGAGCUUGCUCCCUGAUGUUAGCGGCGGACGGGUGAGUAACACGUGGGUAACCUGCCUGUAAGACUGGGAUAACUCCGGGAAACCGGGGCUAAUACCGGAUGCUUGUUUGAACCGCAUGGUUCAAACAUAAAAGGUGGCUUCGGCUACCACUUACAGAUGGACCCGCGGCGCAUUAGCUAGUUGGUGAGGUAAUGGCUCACCAAGGCGACGAUGCGUAGCCGACCUGAGAGGGUGAUCGGCCACACUGGGACUGAGACACGGCCCAGACUCCUACGGGAGGCAGCAGUAGGGAAUCUUCCGCAAUGGACGAAAGUCUGACGGAGCAACGCCGCGUGAGUGAUGAAGGUUUUCGGAUCGUAAAGCUCUGUUGUUAGGGAAGAACAAGUACCGUUCGAAUAGGGC
rnacentral:rRNA from 1 species